UACGUAGGGGGCAAGCGUUGUCCGGAAUUACUGGGCGUAAAGAGCUCGUAGGUGGUUUGUCGCGUUGUUCGUGAAAUCUCACGGCUUAACUGUGAGCGUGCGGGCGAUACGGGCAGACUGGAGUACUGCAGGGGAGACUGGAAUUCCUGGUGUAGCGGUGGAAUGCGCAGAUAUCAGGAGGAACACCGGUGGCGAAGGCGGGUCUCUGGGCAGUAACUGACGCUGAGGAGCGAAAGCGUGGGGAGCGAACAGG
rnacentral:rRNA from 1 species